AUUGACAAGUUCUCGAUCCCAAUCCUAAAUUUCAAAUAGGAUCGAGUUUCAAGAGUAAGCCUGCUGACACAAUGUUUGUCGUG